ensembl:lncRNA
AUGUCAUCUUUGGGCCAAAAGAAAGAUUGUUGUGCAAGUGAAAUAUUCAAUGGGGAUCUAUUUACUUUUGUUAUGUUCUUUCCUGAACAAAACUUUUCCCCUGAUAUCAAAAAUGGUAUAGAAUAUCGAUCUUUUUCCAGGAAUAGUAUUGAAGUUAGAAAAUCCAGUAUCGUGACUGACAACCCUACUAGAAACGCGAUUGUGAUUAUUCAGUUAGAGCUACAAGAAACUUAAAAGUUAAAAAGACAUAUCUUUGCUACUACCUCUGACAUUUAGUCAUGUACAUUUGCAUAAAAUCAUGCAGGUCUACAUAUAACUUGGCGAUAGCUUUAAUAGGUUGGAACGGCGGACUGAAAUCACUUCAUGGCACGAUGUGAGCGCUCGAUAAAUAAGUUAACAAAGAGAAGUUUGUUAUUUUUUAUGUGCUGAAGCUAACAUUCAGCUUCAGUCUGAGCUAGGAGAAUUUUUCUGAGCCCCCCCAAAACCAGGCCGGGUGCCUGGCAAAAAGAGGCCCGUUCACGAUUCUGAUUAUAAUUUGGGCAAGUGAACAUUACAUUCAGGCAAGUUGAACCUGACCUGUACUUGCCCGAUGGGCAAGUGCUUUUGAAACCUUAGUGUCAACCCCUGCAUAAGGCACUAAGUCCCCUCUGCCGCUCACACCCCCCUGACACUUUUAAUCAGCUGAGGGCGUUUGCCUGAGUCUCAUAGUAUUAGAACAUGUUGUACUUGUUUAUUAGCUCACGUUGUUAUGGCAAUGAAUACGCCCUCAGCUGAUAAACUAAUGCCAGCUUUUUUUUUCAACAGAAAAUUAUCACCCAUAUCAACAUAUAUUUGAUAUUUUCUGCUCCUUGCACCUAAUCAUGCUUAUCAUGCUACGCAGCAUUACAAGGCUCUGCUGACUAAAACAUGAAUCAAUUCAAGAAGAGGCAUAUAUAGAAUCGUCUUGUGGUCAACUGUCAUUUAAUAGACAUCUGACAGAUUAUGUCAAGGUUUUAAAAUUAUAGUAUUAUUAUUACCAGGUCACGUUAUAACACAGCUGGAAAUCGUGGAUUUUCUAAUAAAGACUAGCUAGCCUCUUUGACAGGCAAAACAGCAGAAACGAUGUUAGUUGCGCUCGUGCUUCAUUUUUGGUUUUGUCAAACAGGAGACGCCCACCCACCAAUCCGAGGUUAGAGAUUCCUGAAGGAAGGUUGCACUCGAUUUCACUAGCCCAUUUGAGCCUGUUCAUUAGUGUACAGCAUCCAUCCUCUCAUUGCUUGUGUAAAAAAAAACAGUAGAAUAUUAGAUUUGAGGACGAAACGAUAGGGUGGGCUAAGGCAAGUUUUUUUUCAAAAAGGUCUAGCUUCGCCACCGAUGGCAACGCUAUUGAAAUUGUUCCUAAAUGAAAAUCUUAAAAAAUAAGAGAUAUAUUUUUCAAAAUUAAAGGUUGUAGUAGGACGAUGAAGAGGCCAUGCCUCUAUGGAACAAGUUUUGUGGCUCUAGAGUCAAUAAUGGCGACGCUAUUGAAAUUUUACCAUUGUGGUCGUUUUCAGUUUUGCACUUUGCAUACGGUCGCUAAGCUCGCGGCUGAAAGCCGACUGCUCGUAGAAGCCAAUGCAAUUCACCGUUGCUAAAGACGGCUCGAAUCCUAACGCGAAACCGCAUAGGUCCGGAUAGAUUUGAAACCACCUCCGAGGGUGGUCUCAGAAAUGUGCGGUUUCGGGAUCCGCCGCCUCCGUCUGGACGGUCGGCCGAAAUGCACAAGACUGCGCAAGACUCAAACUUGCACAAGAUGCGGUUUCACCAAAGAUCGUCUUUGUGUGGACUUGGCCUGGUACAGAGUCUAGCCAACUAUAGUUGUGAAGGAGCCCUAAUGGUGAAACAGACGGCCCUUAAAAAAUAGUUUAAAACCCCAAAUACCAACUCGGAGGAGACUCAGAGGAGGAAGAAGGUGAAAAAACACGAUGCGUAUAUUAAACAUGUAGGCUCUUUCUACAUGCGCCAAUCAACUGUAUUUCAUAUGGCUGUUAAAUUGUACAUUUUCUGGUAAAUUUGAAUCUAAUAAAUUGGCUAACUGAUUAGCUGGCAGAAAAUAAGACCAUGACUAAAUCACAGGUACAUGUUCAAUAAAGGUCAUCUCAUCAAUUUACACAAAUUGUGACACUUUGAGUAUCGCGUAGUAAAGGAAAAAUAACAAAGUGAUGAUCACAUGAAUGUUUCAGGUUUGUGCCACAUGGUGAAUGAGCAGAGAUGGAGCAACCAGUAACUAAAUUUGAAAUUAGUAGUCUCAAGAUUUUCUUGAGUGCAUCAAUGUGGAUUAAUUAUGAUAAAAAGAAAAAUCUUAAUGCCACCCUGUUGUGUUAUAUCUUAUUAAAUACUUUAUUAAUAGUUCGUACAGCCUAAUGUUUUUCUGGCAUAAAUGUUUCCCAACCCUUGAUUGACAACACAAGUAAGUUGCAAGCCACUGUAGUCAGAAAAUAAGGAUUGUUAAUAACCCCAAACGGCAUUCAUGUAGCUUUUCAUAUGGCAAUGUAUCGCAGAGAACAAAACUACACCAAUAGGUUCAGCAAUUCAUUUAUUUAAUCGUUAAGAACUUUUUGCUCUUUAUCCCCAAAUCAUGGCAACUGUUGAUUGACUCAUGCCUUUAUGUUUUGAUAUGAACAUAGGUCGACUGAACCAGCAGUGUGGCCCAAAGGAAGGUUUGAGGAUUGAGAAGCUAACCAGGGGGAGAAGCUGAAGAACUUGCUAACUUGUGGAGGGAACUCUCUUGGCUACUAUAAUGAAUAUGUUGUUGUUGUGAAUAAGAGUGCUCCACAACAGUUGGAGUAUCUCGAGUUUUUGAAGACGUUGAAACUGUUCUGUGUUCUAGACUUCGACCCAAACUCGGCAGCUAUCGACGGACUCUGCUUUUCCUACGGAGAAUCACGGGUGGCCAAUAAGCAUGAGCCAGCUCUCUAUGUGGGAGAGGCCGGGGAUGUGAUUAAGAAACUGAACCUUUACAAACAGACCAGCUGGGUGUUCUGCAAUGGACGACAGGACGUUGACAGUGAGUCCUGCAAGGUGUUUGACUACAAGACUUGGU